UACGUAGGGCGCAAGCGUUGUCCGGAAUUAUUGGGCGUAACGAGCUCGUAGGCGGCCUGUUGCGUCCGCUGUGAAAUCCCGGGGCUCAACCCCGGGCCUGCAGUGGAUACGGGCUGGCUAGAGGCAGGCAGGGGAGAACGGAAUUCCAGGUGUAGCGGUGAAAUGCGCAGAUAUCAGGAGGAACACCGGUGGCGAAGGCGGUUCUCUGGGCCUGUACUGACGCUGAGGAGCGAAAGCGUGGGGAGCGAACAGG
rnacentral:rRNA from 1 species